CCAAGUUGGGAGGAGGGAGAGGGACAUGCAUACAUGCUAAGCCAUGAGCCCAGCCAGGGGGCUCUUUCCCAGGACCCUGGGAUCAUGAGCCCAAGGCAGAUGUCUGAUCAACUGAGCCACCCAGGCACCCCAGUGUUUAGAGUUUUCUACCUAGAAGUUCAUGUAUCUGUAAACAAAUAAUUUAUUUCUUCCUUUACAUUCUGAAUGAAUGCCUUUUAUUUGUUUGUUUUUGUCUAAUCGCUAUGGCUAGACCUUCCUGUACUGUGUUGAAUAGAAGUGGUGAAAGUAGACAUCCUUGCCUUGUUCUUAAUCUUAAAGGAAAACUUUGUCUUUUCCACUCCUGGAAUUUUAGGUCAUAAAUGCAAACAACACCAAGGUCCUGUGCACAUGGAAGCUCAGUUUGCAUGGUUUUAAGUGGCAAAAAAUGGAAUACAAAACAAGCCCCUCAGGGAGUAGAUGAAUAGAAUAUGUUAUCUCCACACCAUGGACUAUUAGGUAGCCUUUAAAAGAGUGAAUUGGGAAUUUAAAAAAAGAAUGAAUUGUAGUGAUAUCACUUGACUUGGGAGGAUUUUCACAAGAUAAUGAAAAAAGCAAUAUGCAGAGAAAUAUGGGUAAUGUCAAUCUAUUAAAAUAAAACUAAUCCUCAUAUUUAUGUGUAUAUCUCCAUACAUAUGUAUAAAUCAUGUAUGUGAUUAUAUGUGCAUUGAGAAAAACAAAAAGGAAUAUGUACUUGAUUGUUAACAUGGACACAUCAGUUAUUGAUGUAGAAGAUAGAGAAAAAAGGAAAAAGUUCCCAGAAUGAAUAGUAUGAUUACUUUUUGAAUUUCUGUAAACUGUGUUUUUAUGUCUAUAAAUGGGUAUAUUUAUUUACAGCAUCUUUAA